rnacentral:ribozyme from 1 species
UCAUGAAUCGAAGAAACCAAAGACAAGUAAGAAGAAAAGGAAAAAGGGCAAGAGGUAGAAUGAUUAUUACUUGACGGUUUUUAU